rnacentral:rRNA from 1 species
AUUGAACGCUGGCGGCAGGCCUAACACAUGCAAGUCGAACGGUAGCACAGAGAGCUUGCUCUCGGGUGACGAGUGGCGGACGGGUGAGUAACGUCUGGGAAACUGCCCGAUGGAGGGGGAUAACUACUGGAAACGGUAGCUAAUACCGCAUAACGUCGCAAGACCAAAGUGGGGGACCUUCGGGCCUCACACCAUCGGAUGUGCCCAGAUGGGAUUAGCUAGUAGGUGGGGUAAUGGCUCACCUAGGCGACGAUCCCUAGUUGGUCUGAGAGGAUGACCAGCCACACUGGAACUGAGACACGGUCCAGACUCCUACGGGAGGCAGCAGUGGGGAAUAUUGCACAAUGGGCGCAAGCCUGAUGCAGCCAUGCCGCGUGUAUGAAGAAGGCCUUCGGGUUGUAAAGUACUUUCAGCGGGGAGGAAGGCGGUGAAGUUAAUAACUUCACCGAUUGACGUUACCCGCAGAAGAAGCACCGGCUAACUCUGUGCCAGCCGCCGCCGUAA